rnacentral:rRNA from 1 species
UGCCUACGGGACGCAGCAGUGAGGAAUAUUGGUCAAUGGCCGAGAGUCUGAACCAGCCAAGUCGCGUGAAGGAUGACUGCCCUAUGGGUUGUAAACUUCUUUUAUAUGGGAAUAAAACAGGGUAUGCAUACCCUCUUGUAUAUACCAUAUGAAUAAGGAUCGGCUAACUCCGUGCCAGCAGCCGCGGUAAUACGGAGGAUCCGAGCGUUAUCCGGAUUUAUUGGGUUUAAAGGGAGCGUAGGUGGAUUGUUAAGUCAGUUGUGAAAGUUUGCGGCUCAACCGUAAAAUUGCAGUUGAAACUGGCA